rnacentral:lncRNA from 10 species
CAUUGGUGCCAAACAUCUGGCUUAUUUCUCCCUUGUGUUCCUUUUGUGCCUAACAUAACCAUUAGAAUGCUUCUUGUUGUUCUUACAAAUUAUAGGUCUCAAUCUAUCUGUCCCUGUUUUUGGAGAGACCCAAAACUCUCUUGCAUUUGUUCUUGAGGAGCCCCUCUUUCUUUUUUUUUUUUAAUCCCAGCGCUUUGAAAUCAGGUCAUAAUAGAACUAUGUAGGAACCUCCAUCCUUCCUUCCUUGGUGGAAUCACCAUCUGUGACUAUACAGACAAAAUUGUCCAUAGUCUGCGGACAGAUGGAUGCUAUUUGACUCUCAUUCAGAACGCUCUUCCCACAGAGUCAUGAUGCUGUUUCUGCUGAUUCUUUUGAAAUCUGCCUUCUUGAAGUCCAUGCUUUCUUGUCAUAUUUUCAGCGACUCUCUAUCUGGCUAUCAGAAAUGUCAGGGUAAAUGUCUUUUGUCUAUUGCUGUUGGAAUGGAGUGGGACAAUUAACCAAAAGACCGUUAAAGUAGCAAAUCAUUAAAAGAUACACAUAUCUUGAAUCUUUUAACUUAAAAUAUGUUAAUGAAACAAAUAUAUUCACUCGCUACUCUUUGACCUAGGGCUAAGGUCUUUUUUUAAAGAUUGCUUGCAGUUCCAUAUUGUCAUUUUUGCAUCAUCUAUAAUUUUCAGUCUUAAUUUCUUUUAAGUUGGGCAAGACCUUGUAAAGAAAUCUGAUGACAGAAUCCAUCUAGAUCUGUAUUUAUAGUUGUUUUACCUACAUGUAAUUUAACAGUAAUUAUUUUUAGAAACUCUUUAUCAAAACUUUCUAAAGCAUAUUUUACAGAGUGAAAAGCCUUGGAUGAGUGGAGGGUGGUUAAGAGGGUUUCUGCCAUGUUCUCUCAUGACAUCAUUGAUUUCACCCAAGGUUCAUUAUUUCACUUCACUAGCUGGUAUCUCUCCAAGUAGCAGUUCCCCUGGUUACUUCCUCUCUCUGUAAAGAAAAAUUCAGUGCAGGCAGUAACUUGCCAGACUUUCUGCUUUUAGUUUAGUCUCCAAUCAAACGCAGUAGAAGUUUCCCAUCAUAACUGUUUCGUGCCUCUGUGCCAGCAUUGUAUACUAAAUUAGGAACAUAUCUCUCAUUUCUUCCAUUUGGCCAGAUAGUUUGUUAAUAUCUAUUUCAUCAAUAAUAUGAUUUCUUUUCCUCUUAUUUAAUUCUUUUUCGAAUGCCUCUGUGUCCUCAUUACCAUCUAGGUGCAUGGAUUUUCACACAGGUGAGGGGUAUUUCUUUACCUCCUUUCCUUACAGAUAUUUCUCUGGAAUACACUAAAUCCCAGUAAUUAUUAUGAGAUUGUAUUUACCACCUUAUUCUCAAGUUCCCAUGCUCUGGCCUGGGCCUAUACAACUAAAAGACCCUUGAGAGUAUUACUUUGGGAACAUUUUCCAGUUGUUUUCUGUAGGAAUCUCAUGGCUCCUCUCCCACUAUUCUUUUUCCCAUGACAUUACUGCAGACCUUUAUGACAACUGGUUUCAUGGUUUUAUAUAAGCAUUGCUUUCUUUACUGUCCUAUACUAAGUUUAGAGACUGCUUAAUAGUCUCCAAGAUGUUCUUGUCCUCAUGACAUGUACUCCAACCCUACCCAAAGUCCAUUCCUGCAUUACCUAAAGGCAUCAAACAGAAAAUAUCCUAUUCACCACGUACCUCUUCAUAGUUAGCUGUUCACUUUCCCAAUAUUCUCUCUUUUUCAAAGUCCUAACCAUUGAGAGGAAGAAGCUACAAGAACGCCACCUGUGUGGCUGGGUCUUCUAGUCUUCAGCUUGUGACUUCUUAGAUGCCAAUGCUGCUUCUCUGUCUUCUAGCAGUGUGGUCAUUCCCAUAAAGACCCAAGUACUGAAUCAUGGACUAGUGGGCUUAGUAUGUCUCAGCAGACUAUUAUAAUCUAGAACUAGUCACCAGAAAGAUGGACAACAAGCUUGACUGACCAUAUCUUAUCUGCACAGAGCCUUUCACUAUCACCAAUGAGUGGUGACCAUCAUCCAUCCUCUACCUCCCAGGGCAGCAGUGGGUUUCCUUUCACUAGUGGUACUUGGAUAUCUUCUGGAUAUGACUUCUUGAUGCUCCAUGUACACAAAGACAGCAAUCAGCAACGUCCGUAGAGGUAAUUGUAUAGCUGUUGCUGUACAAUGUGUCAGGGACAAAUGUAGUGUAUGAUUUUUCCAUAUGUCUUUUUGCAAGAUCAUCCUAUCCAUCUUACCCUGUUUUUGUGAUAAGCUUAAAAUCCUGAGCUUUAUUUUUUCCCUUUCGGUUGUACUCUUCCAUAGUGAACUAUAUACUGUUAUAUCACCUCGGUGUCUAGUGCAGUGUGUUAGAAAACUUAGAACUUAAUAAAGAUUUUUAAGUUAAUUCACAUAAGCUAAAAUUCCACUUAUAUGAGCAAAGAUUUUGGGAGUCAUUUUUAAAAAUUUUAUUUAUUUAUUAUUAUUAUUAUUUGCUUCUCUUUGAUAACCUUGGUACUAAGAUUUUUGGGGGUCAUUUUUGAACAAUAAUUUGCAGUUGCUGAGUUAUUAGUCUAUGACUUGCUACAUUGCAUUCCUUAGCAAGUUGCAAAUAUUCAAGCAGCAAGAUAUGUGGUCAACUUCUAAAUAAUAUGGUUGUUGCUGUUUUUUUCCUGUGUCAUUCAGCAUUAACAUUAUCCUCUGAACCCCAAAUACAACCUCUUUGCUUCUAUCAGGAAAAUAGAAAUUCUUCUCUAAGAAAUGGCAUUGGUGCAUUGGGAGACUAAAGUUGCAGUGAUCGGAUGCCUAUAUUAAUCCCAAAGAGUCAUCAUUUGAAAAAUUGAAUUUAAGUCUGAAAUAAAACAUCCAUAAAAUUGAACUGUAGUCUCUUUUCUUUACUUUCUCAGGCUAAACCCCUUGUUUUUCCAUUUGUUGGCCAAUGAAGGCUUCUCAUGGAACUCAUUCUGAUCAAAUUUUGUAACUGAAAAUAUUAGGC